AUACGUAGGUGGCAAGCGUUAUCCGGAUUUAUUGGGCGUAAAGCGAGCGCAGGCGGUUUUCUAAGUCUGAUGUGAAAGCCUUCGGCUUAACCGAAGAAGGGCAUCGGAAACUGGAUGACUUGAGUGCAGAAGAGGGCAGUGGAACUCCAUGUGUAGCGGUGGAAUGCGUAGAUAUAUGGAAGAACACCAGUGGCGAAGGCGGCUGCCUAGUCUGCAACUGACGCUGAGGCUCGAAAGCAUGGGUAGCGAACAGGAUUAGAUACCCUGGUAGUCCAUGCCGUAAACGAUGAGUGCUAGGUGUUGGAGGGUUUCCGCCCUUCAGUGCCGCAGCUAACGCAAUAAGCACUCCGCCUGGGGAGUACGACCGCAAGGUUGAA
rnacentral:rRNA from 1 species